rnacentral:rRNA from 1 species
GAUGAACGCUGGCGGCGUGCUUAACACAUGCAAGUCGAGCGAAGCAGUUAAGUUGAUUUCUUCGGAUUGAUUCUUAACUGACUGAGCGGCGGACGGGUGAGUAACGCGUGGGUGACCUGCCCCAUACCGGGGGAUAACAGCUGGAAACGGCUGCUAAUACCGCAUAAGCGCACAGAGCUGCAUGGCUCAGUGUGAAAAACUCCGGUGGUAUGGGAUGGGCCCGCGUCUGAUUAGGCAGUUGGCGGGGUAACGGCCCACCAAACCGACGAUCAGUAGCCGGCCUGAGAGGGCGACCGGCCACAUUGGGACUGAGACACGGCCCAAACUCCUACGGGAGGCAGCAGUGGGGAAUAUUGCACAAUGGGGGAAACCCUGAUGCAGCGACGCCGCGUGAGCGAAGAAGUAUUUCGGUAUGUAAAGCUCUAUCAGCAGGGAAGAUAAUGACGGUACCUGACUAAGAAGCCCCGGC